CCUACGGGAGGCUGCAGUGAGGAAUAUUGGUCAAUGGACGAGAGUCUGAACGAGCCAAGUAGCGUGAAGGAUGACUGCCCUAUGGGUUGUAAACUUCUUUUAUAUGGGAAUAAAAUGUUCCACGUGUGGGAUUUUGUAUGUACCAUAUGAAUAAGGAUCGGCUAACUCCGUGCCAGCAGCCGCGGUAAUACGGAGGAUCCGAGCGUUAUCCGGAUUUAUUGGGUUUAAAGGGAGCGUAGGUGGAUUGUUAAGUCAGUUGUGAAAGUUUGCGGCUCAACCGUAAAAUUGCAGUUGAAACUGGCAGUCUUGAGUGCAGUAGAGGUGGGCGGAAUUCGUGGUGUAGCGGUGAAAUGCUUAGAUAUCACGAAGAACUCCGAUUGCGAAGGCAGUUCACUGGACUGCAACUGACACUGAGGCUCGAAAGUGUGGGUAUCAAACAGGAUUAGAUACCCGUGUAGUC
rnacentral:rRNA from 1 species